GGCUGGUCUGAGUGCAGUGGUGUUUACAACUAAUCGAUCACAGCCAGUUACAGAUCUUUGUUCCUUUUCCACUCCCAGUGCUUCGCUCGACUAGCCUAGA
rnacentral:Y_RNA from 1 species